rnacentral:rRNA from 1 species
GAUGAACGCUGGCGGCGUGCCUAGUACAUGCAAGUCGAGCGAACGGACGAGAAGCUUGCUUCUCUGCUGUUAGCGGCGGACGGGUGAGUAACACGUGGAUAACCUACCUAUAAGACUGGGAUAACUUCGGGAAACCGGAGCUAAUACCGGAUAAUAUUUUGAACCGCAUGGUUAAAAAGUGAAAGACGGUCUUGCUGUCACUUAUAGAUGGAUCCGCGCUGCAUUAGCUAGUUGGUAAGGUAACGGCUUACCAAGGCAACGAUGCAUAGCCGAUCUGAGAGGGUGAUCGGCCACACUGGAACUGAGACACGGUCCAGACUCCUACGGGAGGCAGCAGUAGGGAAUCUUCCGCAAUGGGCGAAAGCCUGACGGAGCAACGCCGCGUGAGUGAUGAAGGUCUUCGGAUCGUAAAACUCUGUUAUUAGGGAAGAACAUAUGUGUAAGUAACUGUGCACAUCUUGACGGUACCUAAUCAGAAAGCCACGGCUAACUACGUG